rnacentral:snRNA from 1 species
GUGGGUGCUCACUUCGGCAGCACAUGGAACGAUACAGAGAAGAUUAGCAUGGCCCCUGUGCAAAGAUGACAUGCAAAUUCGUGAAGCAUUCCAUAUUUUU